rnacentral:rRNA from 1 species
GAUGAACGCUAGCGGGAGGCCUAACACAUGCAAGCCGAGCGGUAUUGUUUCUUCGGAAAUGAGAGAGCGGCGUACGGGUGCGUAACACGUGUGCAACCUGCCUUUAUCUGGGGGAUAGCCUUUCGAAAGGAAGAUUAAUACUCCAUAAUAUAUUGAACGGCAUCGUUUAAUAUUGAAAGCUCCGGUGGAUAGAGAUGGGCACGCGCAAGAUUAGCUAGUUGGUGAGGUAACGGCUCACCAAGGCGAUGAUCUUUAGGGGGCCUGAGAGGGUGAUCCCCCACACUGGUACUGAGACACGGACCAGACUCCUACGGGAGGCAGCAGUGAGGAAUAUUGGUCAAUGGGUGCAAGCCUGAACCAGCCAUCCCGCGUGAAGGACGACUGCCCUAUGGGUUGUAAACUUCUUUUGUAUAGGGAUAAACCUACCCUCGAGAGGGUAGCUGAAGGUACUAUACGAAUAAGCACCGGCUAACUCCGUG